rnacentral:rRNA from 1 species
AACGAACGCUGGCGGCAUGCCUAACACAUGCAAGUCGAACGAAGGCUUCGGCCUUAGUGGCGCACGGGUGAGUAACGCGUGGGAAACUGCCUAUUGGUAGGGAAUAACGACGGGAAACUGUCGCUAAUACCGCAUAAGCCCUUCAGGGGAAAGAUUUAUCGCCGAUAGAUGUGCCCGCGUCCGAUUAGCUAGUUGGUGAGGUAAUGGCUCACCAAGGCGACGAUCGGUAGCUGGUCUGAGAGGAUGAUCAGCCACACUGGGACUGAGGCACGGCCCAGACUCCUACGGGAGGCAGCAGUGGGGAAUAUUGGACAAUGGGCGAAAGCCUGAUCCAGCAAUGCCGCGUGAGUGAUGAAGGCCUUAGGGUUGUAAAGCUCUUUCGGGUGGGACGAUGAUGACGGUACCACCAGAAGAAGCCCCGGCUAACUUCGUGCCAGCCGCCGCCGUAA